rnacentral:rRNA from 1 species
GGGCCCGCACAAGCAGUGGAUUAUGUGGUUUAAUUCGAAGCAACGCGAAGAACCUUACCAGGUCUUGACAUCCAACUAACGAAAUAGAGAUAUGUUAGGUGCCCUUCGGGGAAAGUUGAGACAGGUGGUGCAUGGUUGUCGUCAGCUCGUGUCGUGAGAUGUUGGGUUAAGUCCCGCAACGAGCGCAACCCUUGCCAUUAGUUGCUACGUAAGAGCACUCUAAUGGGACCGCUACCGACAAGGUGGAGGAAGGUGGGGACGACGUCAAAUCAUCAUGCCCCUUAUGACCUGGGCUACACACGUAAUACAAUGGCCGUUAACAGAGGGAAGCAAGAUAGUGAUAUGGAGCAAAACCCUAAAAACGGUCUCAGUUCGGACUGUAGGCUGAAACCCGCCUACACGAAGUUGGAAUUGCUAGUAAUCGCGGAUCAGCAUGCCGCGGUGAAUACGUUCCCGGGCCUU